rnacentral:lncRNA from 1 species
GUCAUACCAACAAAUUUAACGGAAAAAUUUAACAAUGUAACAAUUUGACCUAAAUUUUGAAAUCUGAAAAAUAUAGCAAUUAAAUUUCUGAAAAGUACAGGGAUCGAUGGCAUAUUUUAACCAAAAUAACAAUAUAAUCAAGUUAAAUGUUACCGGAUUCAAAUAUCAGACACUAUUGUUGAAGCAGCUUGAACCAUCUUCUAUUUCAAAUCAAAUACAAAUAUCAAGCUUUUAUCACAUUAUACAAAACAUUCAUUUUGAUUAAAAACAAAUUCAAGUCAUUUUAAACACUUUAGAAUCAUUUUUAAAUAAGUUCUAGGUGCUUGGGGAUGAUCGAGACCAAGUUCGAGUCUCCAGGAGUCAAAACAAGUAAAAAUAGGGGAGAGAUCCCUAUCUGCCAGACGUGUAUCUGUAGAAGUUCCUGCUACUGAUUUACUUGUACCGAUACAUCUUACCACUUGCAUUGGUAGAAGUUUGUCAGGAUCCAAAAAAUGACCCUAAAACACACCUAAUUUGAUCUAAAACAAUACCAAAUCAUUUCUAAACAUUAUGAAACACUAAAUACAAGUUUUAAACACCAUUUAAGCAUCUUUAAACACAUUCAAACAUAAGCCUUCAAACAUGAAGAUCACUUUACCAAUUUCAUACUUCAAUUUUAUCUACUUGACAUGGAAGCAACCAAUGACUGAUAGCAUAGCAUUAAUUUAAGAUCAUGCAUCUCAACUUAAUCACAUAAUCAUAUCAUCGAACACUUAGAUUAUUGAACAUGUUUAACUUGUAUUUUUUUAAGCAUAGAAGAUACCAUGGCAUCAUAAUUGACUCCAAAAACUAAAUUACAACACUAGAUACAUGCCGACUCUAUUUUAGCAUUCAACUUACGAUUCAAACAUUACUGAGCUGAGAUUUGAAACCUGGAUGCUGCCAACCUUCUUGAAUCCACAAGACCUAAUUGAAACCUGCGCACAGAAACAAACAAAUCCACACACUAAACAAAAGAGCUCAAUGGUCUAACAUAAUUUGAAAACAAUGUAUAUAAUAAAAUUUAAACAUAUAAAUUUGAUAUAAAAUCAUUUUUAACAAGUGUAUAUCAAGGAAUCUUUGUUUCAUGUCCUUUACUAAAACUUUCAUACCAAAUUCACGCUCGAGUUAAGUCUCAUAUAACAUCAUCUCAUUAUGCCUUUAAUGCCAUGCACUAUCAUGUCUAGUAUCAUCAAUUAGAUUUAAGCAUAACAUCAAUACUAUCUCAAUUUAAUUAAUAAUCAUAUGGCAUUCUCAUACCACUAUUGAUAUCUCAACAUCAUGAUUCAAAAGGCAUUUCAUAUACAAAUAUUCAUUUUCUCAUUUCAUGAUCGGAUCCAUUGAUUCAUUUUAUAACCAUAUCGGCCCUCAGGGCCCAUAAUAUCCGAAUCGCAUGGUUUUUCACGUGCUAUCUUUCCAUACUUUAAUAAUUCAUUUUCAAUUUCCACGAUCAACAUUUAACAUUAAACUUUUAAACUUAUUAAGCAAAUCACAUGAUUUAUAAUCCCUAUUAACCAAACACAAAGUCAAGAUGGAUACACGGAUCAACCAAUCAUUACACCAAAAUAGCUGACACUCAAUGCAUCAUCGGUACGUCCGAAAUAAUGCGCGCUCCGCGCCUCAUCAGUAUUAGACCUGUCCAUGGGCCAGGCCGGGCUGGGUUCGGGCCGGGCCCACAAAAAAUUUUCAGCCCGUUUACUAGGCCCGGGCCCGGCCCAAAAUAUGGGCCCGAGAUUUUGUCCAGGCCCGGCCCGAAGAAAAAAUACGGGGCCCGGCCCGGCUCAGCCCGUUUUUAAUUAAAAUUAAAAUUAAAAUUAUUUUUUUAAUAAAAUUAAAACUAAUUGUUAUUAAAAUUAAUUGUUAGUAAAAUUAUCAAAUUAUUAAUUGUUAAUUGUAUUAAUUGUUGUAAUAAAAUCUAACAUUUGAUUAGUAAAUUUAUCAAAUUAUUAAUUGUAUUAAUUGUUGUAAUAAAAUCUAAUAUUUGAUUAGUAAAUUUAUCAAAUUAUUAAUUGUAUUAAUUGUUGUAACAAAAUCUAACAUUUGAUUAGUAAAACAAACUUGAUGUUUUAUUAUUAUUAUUUUGUAACACUAGUCAAGGAAAUGAAAGUAAAUAAACUUAAAAUAAAAAAAACUAUUAUAUUUUAAAAAUAAAAAAUAUAUAUUUAAUAUUUUCGGGCCGGGCCGGGCCCGGGCCAAAAAAUCUUGCCCAAGGCCCGGCCCAUUUUUUAAACGGGCCUAAAAUUUUGCCCAAGCCCAUAUUUCGGGCCUAUAUUUUUACCCAAACCCUCCCAUAUUUUGGUCGGGCCGGGCCGGGCCGCCCGGCCCAUGGACAGGUCUAAUCAGUAUGAACCGAAGUAAUAAAUGUAAAUGCGCCUAGCACCUCAUUGGUAAAAACCAAAAUAAACCCCAUACACUAAUCCUAUAUCAUGCCAACUAUAUCUAACUCUAUCCGAGACCGUUAAUUGUAUUCAAUAUUUCAAAGUAUAUAUGUUCCACAUGUUAUUAACUUUUAUAUAUCAAAUUCAUCUCUCUCUAAAAUCAUUUAUCAUUUCAUAACAUUACUAUUCUUUUACAUCUCAUAUACAAUCAAUAUGGCAAUUCACAUAUCAAUUUCAUGCUUUUAUAUAUCAUCUACUUAAGUAUUCAUACUUUCACAUAUCAAUAUCACAUUUAUCUCAUAGUUACAUUUUCACAUCAAGAUACGCAUACAUACAAAUACACAAACUAUCAUCACACUAUAAUCAUUCAUCUUAUAUACUAUCAUCACAGUUUUCACAAGUUCACAACCAUAUAAUACUUACCAAAUCAUGAGACAAGUAGGGUCAUUACCUUAAUCAAGCUAUUUUGUAACAAGUCAUAUAUAUAAUAUUCAAAUCAUGAAACCACAAACCGGAUAAAGCUACUCGUCUACGGUUUCCGCCUUUCCUUUAUCCCGCGACGUCCCAACGCCGUCUUUAGCUACGUACGAUAAUUCGAUUAUUGACGCGAUAUUAGUUUUCAUACAAACACAUCAAUUAAACAUAAAUUGCAUUUUAUUCAUUUUAGCCCCUAUAAGCCCUAAUAUCCGAAAUGCUUGUAUUUUUCGAUAUCUAAUAUCAAAUCAAAAUUUAAUUUCAUAUUUUUUCAUUAGGGACCCAAAGCUUUCAAUCUACAACAAAAUUUUCUAACCACUUUCACUCUAUUUAAUUUGAUCCCUAAUGUCAUAAAAUUAAUUAUAGGUUUUAGUUGAAUUUCUAAUCAAAUCCAACACUUUUCUCUACUUUCUAACUUAGUCCUAAUAUAAUUUAAGCUAAUCCUUCAAAAAUCUAUUACUAUCAAUUUUAAUUUCAUGAAAACUCAUUAAUGGAAACUUGGAUUUAACUUGACAAUUUGGAAAUCUAAAACAUGUGCAAGACUAAGCUUAGUUGAUAAAAUAUCUAUAAUAAUCUCAUGAAAAUAACUUGGUUACCUUGGUUAUUUGGGACCGAAAUUUGAAGAAAACUUAACCUUCUUUUUCUCUUUUCUAUUCGGUUUGAGAGGUAGGAGAUAAUAUUUUUGUUUUUCUCUCACCCACUUGCUCGCCAUAUAUAUAUAGAUUAACAUGGUUAUUAACUUAGUUAACUAAUAAUUAACUAUACUUUAAUAAUAGUUAGUGGGAAGUGUUGACAUACUUAGCACUUAAAUAUUGACAUGAAUCAUAAAUAGCUCAAUAACUCCAAGGUCCCUAGUUUAAUUACUUAUUAAACCCUCAAGCAUUUUCUAAAUUAAAACUUAAUAGUGAUUGCACUUUUACAAUUUAGUCUCUGUACUAUAAUUAAUAAUUUUCUCGAUUUAAUUACUCGACCAUUUAAUAAUAUAUUCUCAUACUAAAUGUGUAAACCCUCCAUUCAUAAACUCAAUUUAUGGUAUCCAGUUUUGAAAUUACAUUUUUCAACACCAGCUAAAAUCAGGUCGUUACAAUGACUCUCAAUUAAAGCACACUAAAUCAAUAUUAAAAUUCCAUUCAAGCACUAGUUUAAUACACUCACAUCAAUUAUUUAUUAUAUAAUUAACUUAGCAUGAAUCGCCAUUAAUAUAUAAAUAGACAAUUUGACAUUCACUUCAUAAAGAAUUUUUAUCAAGUAUCAGGCUAAAUGUUGUCAUGUCAUAUACAUAUAUAAAUAAAAAUAUGCUAAUAUCACCAUUUAGAUGACCAAUGACUAAUCAUAUAGCUCCAUUUUUUUAAUUAUAUUGUCCAAUUUUGCCUAAUACCAAACUAUCAGAAUAAGAUAAUGGAACUAAGUGACACUGCCUUGCCUUUAAAGUGUUGACACCAUCUUUGAGGUAUCCAUACACAUAUAUCAGUAGCAUCACCUUUAAGGUGUUGUAGACUCAUAGUACCACUCUAAGGUGCAAAUAUAUAUAAUGUCAACAUCACGGUACUACUAAUUUCUAUCCCUACUGGCACGCUAAUGUAUCAUUGACCUAUAGUUUAAGUCCCGGCUUUUUACACCCAUAUUAUUUUAGGUAGACAAUAUGCUCAGCAAAAGUUAAUAGUUUACAAAUUCCAAAUUCAGUAUACUCCUAAUAUGCCAUCAAUAUACCAAUUCCAUAAACAUAAGCCAUCAAAUUAAAGACAUUUAUUCCGUCAUGAUCAAAUAUUCAAUUUACACCUAAUAUGCCAUCAAUGUAUCAAUUUCCCAUAAACACAAGCCAUUAAAUUCAAGACAUUUCUAUUAUGGCCAAAUAUUCAAUAUACAACAAAUAUGCUAUCAGUACACCAAUUUUCCAUUUUUAUCAUUUAAAUCCAAAGAUCAGAAGAGUCAUGUUUCCCAUUUCACACAACAAACAAGAGAUAUGUAAUGUUUGGAUUGUAUCAAAUGGUAAAAAUGAAAAAUUGACACAUUGAUGGUGUAUUAGGUAUACAUUGAAUAUUCAGCCAUGAUGGUAAUAUCUUGAAUUUAAGAGCUUGUGUUUAUAACUCUUGAAAAUGAGCCAUACUGUGGAUUUUUCUAUUCUUCUGUCUUCCAACCUAUGCGUGAGAAAGGAAUACAAACGUGCAAAGCAUAAAGCUUAAUAGUGCACACUUUAAUUUUAGUCACUAAAUGAAUAGCACUCUAUAGAAAUGAGUCUGACAAAUAUAGUAACACAAUCAUGUAUCAAAUAAGAAAAUCCCAAUCAAUAUACACACUAAAUCAAUAAAGGUAUCCCAUUCAACCAUUAAUUUAAUCUUCCUACGUCAUUUAUUUAUUAACAAAAUUAAUUCUAACAUGAAUCACCAUUUAUAUACAAACCAAUAGAUAAACUGACAUUCAUUUCACAAAUAAAUGUCAAGUAUCAAUUCAGACAUCAUCAUGUCAUAUAUAUAUAUAUAGGCUUAAUACCUAGGACCCCUAUACAAUAGGCAAAUUGUUUGUUUGACACCUCAAGAAGUUUUUUAGUCAGUUUAUACCUGCACUUCCAUUCCGUCAAGAAAAAAGCUCCACACUCACCUUAAAAAUACUCCAACCUGCCUCCACUGUUUCAAAAAGGAAAACAAUCCAUUCGGACUGGGGUGGUUUGGAAUCCGCUGGGCAGUUUAAGUUUUGCCAUCCCUAGUCUAUGGGAAAGGAUAAGAGAAGUAUUCAUUGGAGGAGUUGGAAGAACAUUUGUGAGAUUAAACUAUGAGGAGGUAUGGGAUUCAAAGAUAUGUUUGCAUUCUACAAAGCUUGUUUUGCUAAGGAGGUAGGGAUGGAGACUGCUAAAGAAUAAUAACUCUUUGGUAAUGUGCUAAAGGCAAAAUAUUAACCAACAACAAUUUCUUGGAUGCAAACCUCAGACAAAAUCCAUCAUUUACAUGGAGCAAUAUAUGGAGUGUGAAGGAUGUGGUGGAGGCUGGGGUAAGAUGCAGGGUGGGCAAUGGUAAAAGCAUUCAGGUAUGAGAUGAUAAAUGGGUUGCUAGCAAUGCUACAUAUAAAGGGCAAACCACAAGAGAUAACACAUGCACCAUUUUCUAGGUUAAUGAGUUAAAUAGAUACAGAAACUAAGCAGUGGAGAUGCAACUUGAACAAUAGCCUUUUUCUAAUCUUGGAGGAUGCUCAUAAAAUUCAUUGUCUUCCUAUUAGUGCACAUGGAUUAGAGGAUGAGCUGGUUUGAAAUUUGAAUAAAUACGGAGCAUACCCGGUCAAGAUUGGUUAUAACAUGAUCGUGGCUAAUGCAAGGGAGAAUGUAGCUAUAUCACAAACCGCUCAAGAGGAAAAUGAGCUAGUUUUUCAAGAGGUUAUGGGGGAGAUUGCGAAGCACGGUUGGAAUCUUGCCUGGAACACACAUGGCUAUCUGGUUCUAGAGAAACAAAUUCAUACACGGACUGGAAUGUCGAAAAGAGGGUCAAAAGCAAUUCAUAACUUCAUACCUGACGGAAUGCAAAUCGCUAACACCUGUAAAGCCUCCUAGCCCUGAAUCGAGAGUAGCUCUCUAGAAACCUGUGCAAGAACCGACAAUUAUAUUCUACUUUGAUGCGGCCGUUGAUAUUGAACAAAUAGUAGGAGUUAGUGGGCAUCGUGGACAGAAAUCACCGUGGUGAAAGGACUUAGCAGCAUGAACGAUAAAAAUUCCCAAUUGGACAUAACCACAUGCAAGCUACCAAGCACUGAAAUUUGCUAGUAUUAGGGCCUUUUGACAUAGAACCAGAAGGGGAUACUUACAAUUAUCGACGAUGGGCCAACUUUGGGACGUUUAGAUCCUGCAAAUUCGUGAGGGGAAUAAGACAGCACAAUUGUUAGUUAGCAAAGUUUUAGUUUAGGGGUUUCUGAAAACUGAUUUUGGCUCGAGGAAGAGGCAUACUAUUUGGCUAAUGCUGUUGGAAACAAACGGUCCUUUCUCUAAUUAAUUAAGCCAAACCAAUAUUUAGGUUAAAAUAUGCUCCUAGUCCCUGUAAUAUUUAUAUAAUUUGAAAUUUAACUUCUCUAUUUUUAUUUUCAA